rnacentral:rRNA from 1 species
UUACCGAAUUUGAUAUUUCAUCUUUUUCUGUGAACUUAUAAACUUAUUGCUUUGGUGCUUUUAAUUAAGCACCAAAUGUUUAAACUCUUUAAAUUUUUGUCAAACAAGAAAUCUAAUAAAUUAAAACUUUUAACAACGGAUCUCUUGGUUCUCGCAUCGAUGAAGAACGCAGCGAAAUGCGAUACGUAAUGUGAAUUGCAGAAUUUUGUGAAUCAUCGAAUCUUUGAACGCACAUUGCGCCUUUUGGUAUUCCAGAAGGCAUGCCUGUUUGAGCGUCAUUUCUCUCUCACUAACGUGGUUUUGUUGUAUCUCUCUUUUAUUAGAAAGUGCAAUGAAAGGAAAUGGCAGUACUUUGAAUUGUUUGCAGUGUUUUAGGUUCUACCAACUACACUUACCAUCAGUUCUUAUAAGUCGGCUUGAUAAUCUUCUUUCAAUGUUGACCUCAAAUCAGGUAAGAGUACCCGCUGAACUUAAGCAUAUCAAUAAGCCGGAGGAA